ACUUAAAGCGUUAGCUUCGGCACAGAGAGGGUCGAUACCCCCUAUACCUAGUAUUCAACGUUUAGGGUGUGGACUACACGGGUAUCUAAUCCGUUUCGCUCCCCACACUUUCGGGCCUCAACGUCAGGAGCAUCCUAGAAAGCCGCCUUCGCCACUGGUGUUCCUCACGAUAUCUACGCAUUUCACCGCUACACCGUGAAUUCCGCUUUCUUCUGAUGCCCUCAAGCUCCCCAGUAUCAAUUGCAGUCUCCCAAUUGAGUCGAGAGAUUUCACAACUGACUUAAAGAACCGUCUACACCCUCUUUACGCCCAGUAAAUCCGGAUAACGUUCGCCUUCUACGUAUUACCGCGGCUGCUGGCACGUAGUUAGCCAAGACUUAUUCCCCGAGUACCGUCAUAUUUCUUCCUCGGGAAAAGGGGUUUACAACCCGAAGGCCGUCAUCCCCCACGCGGCGUCGCUGCGUCAGGCUUUCGCCCAUUGCGCAAAAUUCCUUGCUGCUGCCUCCCGUAG
rnacentral:rRNA from 1 species